GAAAAAUAAUUGAAUAUUGAUUUACUGGUACCUAAUUUAGGGUACCAGUGUUUCUGCUUAUUUCUGCUUAUUCUUUGAAGGGAGUAAUUAAAAUUAGCAUUCCAAAAGAGUGGUGUUUUGGGAGAGCCACCCUGCUAUUAGGACUGGUAGUAAACAUCCCUUAGGCAGUGAGUUGACAAAAGGCCAUGAAUCUUAAUUAUAAGAUUAACUUGUGUUUUUUCUCUGCAUUUCUACUUCCCAGUCUCUAAAGGUUUUCCUUUUUCACAGAAUCAGCUUAUUUUUGCUAUCCUUGUGCUAUAUAGAAAGCAUUUGAAUAUUACGGAAAGCAACAACCUCCCGCCAAAAAAAAAAAAAAAAAAAAAAAAAAAUUUCUCAGCCUCAGAACUGAUGUCCAGAAGUACAUAGAAAUUGCAUUGCCUGUUCUCAGUGUAAUUCUGUAAUUCUUUCUGAUUUCUUGGGUAAUGAAGAUGUUCUUAAGGCAUAGUAGGUACUUUUGUGGAGUUAAUUUUCUUUAGCUGUAAAUCUCCCUGCACCCCAUCUUAACAUUUAAUCUUGAGUCUUCUACUAUUCCAGGAGUUAGAAUCGAGUCUACCCUAAAGUGGUACAGAGUCAUGGAACCCCCUCCAUUUGCCAUGGUGUAACAUUUUAACAAUGCCUGGAUUUUGAUUGGGAAAACUUGUGAAAUCCAGAGGGGAAAAAGCAGUUAUUCUAACUUGUUUUCAAGAGAAAUAACUUGUGGCUUUUGCACAUCUUAGGAUGAAAGCAUGGCAAACCUUCCAUAAAUGUAUUAACUUCAAAAUAAGAGUAAAAAACUGAAUUAUUUGAGAUUUUAACAUUAGUUUAAAAGUUCUAGUUGGUUAAAAUAUGUUUUAAUCAUGAGAUUCUUUUUUUUGUAAAUACAUGAUCUAUAUAAAAGUUUAUUAAAAAGUGAUAAAUAUUAUAUAACUAAAUUUAUAUUCAUGUGAAUGCUUUGAAAAUGGGUUUUAAUGAUGAUCAGUGAUUGCCUAUUUCUUAAACAUUUGUAUUUUUGAAGCACUUAAAUGUGUUUUUCAUUCAGCUGAAUAAAAGAAUAUUCCUUUUUCUCUUUUUCUAGAACAAUGCCGCAGAAGAGGUUGAAGAGAACUCUGAUAAGAAAAGUGUUCAAUUUGUAUUUAAGCAAACAGUGAACGACAUUUGCAAUCAACUAAAAAUUCGUCUAUCGAAUUAGGGCUGAAAAUUUCUGUUAAAGAGUGUUGCAGUAUGUCUGGUGGCUCCCUUUUCAGGACUAGGGUUUUCUCAUGGAGUACAGUAUGUUAAUAUUUACCUAUAUAACUAAUCUGUUAACGGUUUUUGAAAAACCUAUAUUUCAAAUUACUUGAGUAGUCCUCGUAUUUUAAUUUUAACCUAAAUAAGCCUCUGAUUUUUUUUUUUUUUUCUGAGGAAAGCAUUUGGUUUAUGAGUUAUUUUUCUUAAGGAAAGAAAAAUUGUAUUUUUUUUUAAAGUAUCUUCAAACUGAAUCCUUUAUGCACCAAAGUUGGUUUUGAAAAGCAAAAUAAAAUCACUUUCUUGCUUGGUGAGCAAGAAGCCAUAUGGAUUUUUUUUAACUUACAGAAAUGGAAAUAUGUGUAACUUGUUAGUAUUGUAUCAAACAAAUGUUGCAUAGAGAUAAUAGAACAUUGCCUGUAAAUAAUUCAGCAGAUUUGUAAUAUAUUUUUAUAUUAUGAAAUGUUCUGUAGAUGUUUUUCUAGAGGCAUGAAAGUUAAAUGUAUAUAUUAUGGGUAGAAAUAAUAUUGAAGGAUAUUGUAAUUCACUAGUGCUGCCAGAGGAAUUGUUAAUAAAGCACCUUCUUUAACAAUAAAUGUCUUUUGCAGACUUAAGGGACUAUGUACUACUGUUAAUAUCUAUAAGAACAAAACACAUUGAACAUCCUUCCAGAAAGUCUUUGAGGGAGGACCUAUACCCAUAAUAGAAUUAUGGCACUCAUUUCUGACAGUGACCGUGAAAUCAAUUAUUUCCUUACUGUUGGAAGGACAUAUUGUAAAGUAUGUGGUUAUAUGCAGUCAAACUGCAGAAAAUACUCCUAAUUGAGGAGUUUUCACUUUACUACAGUGAUAUAAAAACCAGCAGUUUUUACAUUAAAAUUUUUUAAAGAGAAUAGACAAAAAUAUAGAAUUAAUAAGCCUUUGGUUCCAAAAUGGGAAAGGUUCCAUGACACAUAAAUCAUUUCUCAUUUACUUUAAAAAAUUAAAAAAAUAAUAAAAAUUAUGGGAGACUUUAUUCGUUAACAAUGGGGUAAAGAGCUAUGUACAUGAAAUGAGUCAUAUAAAAUUAAAUGAAGUGCAAAUAAAAGCACUGCUACUAUGAGACAUUCUGGAAUGGUUGUUUAAUAAGGGUAUUAUUCAUAUGAUCUGUAGCAAAUGUGAUUUUAUUUUUAAAAAGAAAAGAAAAGCAGUGUGUUUUCUUACUAUUUUUUGUUUUCUUUUGCUUAAGCACUUCAUCAGUUGCUUUAUUCUGUAUCUACAAAGUAAUCUGCAAAUCUCCUUUGUUCUUUUAAGAUUUGAUUUGUUAUAAAACUGCCAAAUAGAAGUGUUCCAGAUAUAUAGUUUGUACCUGUAUUUUUUAUUUUAUUGCCUCAUGUUCUUGUAAGUCAUUCUUAAUUGACGGAUGAUUGUAGACCUUGCCUGAGUAUUUUUUCUAAUAAAACAAAGCAAAUCACACUUAGCUUCCAAAUUGUAACAAUUCAAUGCAAUUUUAAAACGACAUCUGAAAUUUAUAUCUGAUAUUUUCUUCAGGAGCACAGCAAAUAAAUUAGUUUUCUCAUUCUGUAGAAAUACUUAGAUAUCAAAACCAAAUUUCAUGGUUAUUGAUUAGCCUCUGAGUACCCAGUCAUUCAUGAUGCUCUUGCUGCUUAGCUAACUUUGUUCUGAUACUUUUUGCCACCAAAAAUAACUGUGGAAUUAAGAUGAAGUAGUUUUAUUACUUAAUGUACACACAUACGCACAUAUGCAAUUAUGAUUGGGAAGUAAGUGUGAAAAUUUUAAUUUGUAAUGUUUCAUCUGGUGAUCACUAUCCAUCUAUAUUCUUCCUACCCCUGUUGUUCACCCUACCAUAUGACAUGCUUGUAAUAUGGCACCUGAAAUAAUUAAGAAUCCAUUGUCUUUAAGCAGCAGGCAAACUGCAGCCCACGAGCAUACCAGUUCAUUUACCUGUGACUGCUUUCCCUUGUAAUGGAUAGUUGAAUAGUGACACUUUAUUGCCUGCAAUAUUUAUUGCCUAAAAUACUUACCAUCUGACUUCUUAAGGAAAAAUUUGCCAAUCCCUGGAUAUAGUUGAUAAUGUUUUUGGAAAAAUAAACCUAGACUGC
rnacentral:lncRNA from 1 species